rnacentral:rRNA from 1 species
UACGAAGGGGGCUAGCGUUGCUCGGAAUCACUGGGCGUAAAGGGUGCGUAGGCGGGUCUUUAAGUCAGGGGUGAAAUCCUGGAGCUCAACUCCAGAACUGCCUUCGAUACUGGAGCUUGAGUCCGGGAGAGGUGAGUGGAACUGCGAGUGUAGAGGUGAAAUUCGUAGAUAUUCGCAAGAACACCAGUGGCGAAGGCGGCUCACUGGCCCGGUACUGACGCUGAGGUGCGAAAGCGUGGGGAGCAAACAGG